rnacentral:rRNA from 1 species
CCGACGGUGAGGGGUGAAAGCUGGGGGCACGAACCGGAUUAGAUACCCGGGUAGUCCCAGCCGUAAACGAUGCUCGCUAGGUGUCAGGCAUGGCGCGACCGUGUCUGGUGCCGCAGGGAAGCCGUGAAGCGAGCCACCUGGGAAGUACGGCCGCAAGGCUGAAACUUAAAGGAAUUGGCGGGGGAGCACAACAACGGGUGGAGCCUGCGGUUUAAUUGGACUCAACGCCGGACAACUCACCGGGGGCGACAGCAAUAUGUAGGCCAAGCUGAAGACUUUGCCUGAAUCGCUGUGAGGAGGUGCAUGGCCGUCGCCAGUUCGUACUG